UACGGGGGGGGCAAGCGUUGUUCGGAAUUACUGGGCGUAAAGGGCUCAUAGGCGGCCAACUAAGUCAGACGUGAAAUCCCUCGGCUUAACCGGGGAACUGCGUCUGAUACUGGAUGGCUUGAGGUUGGGAGAGGGAUGCGGAAUUCCAGGUGUAGCGGUGAAAUGCGUAGAUAUCUGGAGGAACACCGGUGGCGAAGGCGGCAUCCUGGACCAAUUCUGACGCUGAGGAGCGAAAGCCAGGGGAGCAAACGGG
rnacentral:rRNA from 1 species